AGAGAGGCGAGUUGUAAAACUAACGCUGAAGAGAAGGAGAAUUUGAUACACGAAGCCUUAUCACUAGAUGGCUUUGCCUGCCACUUCCUGACUGACAGCUUCUCGAGUGGACACAUUCGGACACCCAGAGUUGCCUUGGCUAAGAGAAUUAUCCCACGCAAUCUUGGUCAUUACUUGAGCAAGCAUAUGCACGAUGAAGAUGGUAAAAUGGGCCUCCAUGUGACAAAUAAAAGAGGCGAUAAGUGGAUAGUAUUCGGCGAUGGACUGCUUCUGAAUGAAGACAAAAAAGACAACCUAAAGUUUGUGAUCGAGGCCGUUAGAAAAUCAGUCGACCAAGUGUUUGAGGCUUACAAUUAUCCAUCUAAAGAUCUCAACACCGCUGUAAUCACUGACAUCAUCCCAAGUCUUGAGCAAGAAGGUAAAAAUCAUGCCCCUUUGUUCCAGGUUAAGGAUGGGAAACUGUACACGAGGUCCAUAUUAAGUUUUCUUAAGCAGAAGCUCGCGACUAGGAGAAGACGGAGUGCUGUAACAUUAGUCUAGAUGCGAAGUUUAACAUUAUGAAGAGGAAAGAAAUUAGUAGUAAUCAAAAAAGGAACUUCAUUAGAAGAAAAUAGGCGGGUUUGAGUUUCCUCAGCCCUGUUUUGACUUUUUUCCAACGGAAGAAGUAAAAAUGUGUUUGAUAAAGGUAUUUUAUAAAUACGAAGUAAUUUCCUUUGUUGAAAAAUUUACUACUCUGUAGGGAUAUAAAAAAUAUUCCAUGACUGAAGCCAAUUCGCGUGUUUGCCUGCUGUUUAUAUAUUGUAUUUCUUCAAAAUAUCAUUGUAAUGAUUUUUAUAGCAUUUCUUGAUGACUUGAGCUUUGAGGGUUUAAAUGUUUGAAGAAUAUCAUGAUAGUUAAAGACUGCAUGUGGCUACUGGUAAAGCACAAAUUUUAUAGUAUUAAAAAGAACUAGAGGUUGUCUAACAACGUUAGAAGAGAUUUUUGUAAAAUAUUUGUCUCACGUGCAAAAAAGGAAACCUACUGCAUCCCACAUGUUAAUGAUUACCCUAAUCUACAAAAGAUGAUUCAAGAAUAUAAUGACAUUCUAAUAGUCUAACUGACAUUCUACCCAUAAUUAAAUGGUUACAGCUAAUAACUUGCUCGCAAAUUUAGCGGCUCUUUUGGCUUAAGUCGCUGAUUCAAAAAGUGCUCUCUUUUCAAAUAAUAUCUAUUGAGAUACUUCUGCAGGGAAAAGUUUUGAUAUGAAUUAAACGACGGUGGAUGCCACCGUGAAAUUAUUUUGA